GCUAGAGGAAUGAAGAUAAGCAGCUCUGCCUUGUUCACUCCCGCUGAUUUCAUGGAUUCAGCUCUGUGUCCUUUCUUUAUUGGCAGGAGGAGCCUUAUAUAGCGUGAUUUAUGCCAAGUUCAGUGGAGAGGGUGCCCACCUGCAAGGACACUUGAGAAAGCACUUUGAGUCUGUGUGAUGCGCAGAAGGUGAUGGCUGACAGCCCGUCUUGACAAGCAGCUACAGAAGACAGCAGGAGGAUGUGAGCAUAUUAAAGACUAAGGAGUGAGCAGACCACAAGGAAGGUGAUGGACAUCUAAUUUUUCCUAAUACCUCCCAG